GCGACUUUUGUGAGAGUGGAUCAGUAGAUUGCUAAGAACAAAUAGUAGAUAGAAUGAAGUGCAAAGUAAACAGGUGAAGGAAGCAGCUACCAUUGGAAGAACACUCUAGCAAUUUUGCUCUGCAGAAGAUUAGAUGAAUGGGGACAGUGGCUGAAAGAGUAUGUAGAGCAAAUAAAUGUGCUUCUUCUACAGGCUGGAGUCACUUGAGUGUGUCUGUAUCCCAUGCUCCUUCCUCCAGAGUGGCUGACGUGGCCCUCGGUGCCUGGCUUGGGCUCACACCCUAUGCAGUUUCUAUGCAAAUCAAGCAUACCUCCUUCUAGGAUGUGCCUCACUUUGCUGUGAUUGUUCUGAAUGUACCGGCAUUCUCGAGCCUCUGUCUGUCACUCAGCAGUCCUCCCUUGGGGGUGGGUGACAGGUUAGGUUCCCACUUACUAAUGAGCUCAUUUACAUUCGUGUAGCUUCCAGUAUCUGCAUCUUUAAGUAAAUCUCUAUAUUUGGUUCAAAAGAUGAGAAGGUAAGCAGUCAGUUAUCUGAAAAAGCCUGAUAUUCCCCACCUCUCAACCCCUCCAAAACACAUAGUCUGAUAUGUGACUUGCUGUGAAAAAGAAAAACAUCCUUUUGGAAAUUGUUCUUCACAAGAGGAAACACUGCUCUGGCUGAAAGGUGAUAUUGUUAGCAUAUAAACUGUACAUUGCAUUCUACUGGAGGUUUUCAGUGUGCACAAGAUUUGGUCACAAAGAACAAGUUUGUCCUUGUAUAGACUUGAACAAGUGUGUGUGUGUUUAAUUCUAAGGACACCAGAGUUUUCAAAUGUUGCUUCUUUACUGGUUUUGUUAGCUUGAGAAUGGGCUCUGUCCUGACCUUGCAUAUACUUAGCAUGUUCCCAGCAGCAGCAUCUUGGCAGGGCCCUGCCAGGAAGCGAAGAAACCACACAGCCCUUCAUUUGUUUCUAGGACAACGCGUAGUAAGUACGUAGGAUGCGUCUGGCUGCCUCCCAGCUGUGUACAUUUGCUGUCAGAGUAUGCUGGUGGCCCAAGAGUGAUUUCAGAAGAAAGGGCUGCCUGUCAGCUCUGAGGAAAUGGUAUCAAACAAAUAAACUGCUCCCAGACCCCUAGGUCAGCCCAUGGUGUUGGGUCUCCACUCCAACAGCUAAUUCUUCUGUCCUCUCUUGCCAUUGAUUGGCACGAUGAACGCAGGAAGCAGGUGAGAGAAGAUGGAGCAACUGAGGGGCUGUGUUCUGACAAGGAGGGUGUGAGAGAGCUACAAGGACCUCUCCAUCCUCAGGGCUCCAAUUAAAUGACUUCCUUCCCUAGGGCUAAAGACAGGUCAUGAAGGAUAAAAUUACCAACCCAGGAAAGAGAAGACGUUUAUAGCUUCUGCUACUUUUACAAAAAUAGAUGAAAGGAAAGAUUGUUUUUUCCACCCUUUGCAGCCUGUGAACUUCCUUAGCCCUGUGCAUAACUUGCUCAUUUUUCCAGAAAUAGGAGACUUGUGGUUGUCAAGUGCAUUGUACAUACUGCUUACAAGGCGACACUCUCUACCUUAGAGAGAUGUUUUGCUGAAGCUUCUCCUUAUUCUUGCCUUUCUUCCCUUCCUCAUUUGUUCCCUCCUUUCUCUCUUCCUUUUCUUUAUCUUUUUGUUUUUUCUUUCAUUUUUUCUCUCUCUUUCUUUCAGCUUCGUGAGAUAUAAUUUGCAUAAUAUAAAUUCACUUUUUAUAGAAUUAUGCAACCAAUACCAUAAUUCAAUUUUAAAACAUUUCCAUCACCCUCAAAACAGCCCUUCUAUCUAUCAGCAACCACUCUCCAUUCCCAACUCCAGGCAACUGUUAGUCUACUUUCUGUCUCUACGGAUUUGCCUUUAUGGGACUUUUCAUAUAAAUCGAAUCAUAUAUAGUAUAUAUAUAUAUACAUAGUGGGUGUGUUUGUAUCUGACUUCUUUCACUUAGCAUAAUGUUGUUAAGUUUCAUCCAUGUUCAUUCAUGUUGUUGCAUGUGUGAGUACGUCGUUUCUUUCUAUUGCUGAAUAAUAUUCUUUGGUAUUGAAAUACUACAUGUUGUUUAUCCAUUUUUCAGUUUACUGGCAUUUGAAUUGACUCCACUUUUUGAUGAC
rnacentral:lncRNA from 10 species